rnacentral:rRNA from 1 species
ACUCAAUAGAUACCCUGGUAGUCCUAGCAGUAAACGGUGCACAUUUGGUGUGGGAGGAAUCGACCCCUUCCGCGCCGGAGCUAAACGCGUUAAAUGUGCCGCCUGGAAGUACGGUCGCAAGAUUAAAACUCAAAGAAAUUGACGGGGACCCGCACAAGCGGUGGAGUAUGUGGCUUAAAUUCGAUGCAACGCGAAGAACCUUACCUGGUCUUGACAUGCACUGUGUCUCUCGUGAAAGCGAGAUAGGGUAGCAAUACCCGCUUUGCACAGGUGCUGCAUGGCUGUCGUCAGCUCGUGUCGUGAGAUGUUGGGUUAAAGUCCCGCAACGAGCGCAACCCCUGUGAUUUGUUGCCACCUGGUUUUCCAGAGCACUCGAAUCAGACUGCCUAGAUCAACUAGGAGGAAGGUGGGGAUGACGUCAAGUCCGUAUGGCCCUUACGACCAGGGCUGCACACGUACUACAAUGCCCAGCACAAUGUGAACCGAUACCGCGAGGUGGAGGAAAUCCUGAAAAACU